rnacentral:pre_miRNA from 2 species
CUUGUGGGGAAUGUUGGCUGGCUCGAGGCAUCCGCGUCCUAGCUUGCAGAUCGUUGCCUGCUGCCGGACAGAUCGAGAGGCGUCGGACCAGGCUUCAUUCCUCGCAAG